GUGAGGAAUAUUGCACAAUGGACGAAAGUCUGAUGCAGCGACGCCGCGUGGGCGACGAAGGCCUUCGGGUUGUAAAGCCCUUUUGGCAGGGACGAGUGAGGACGGUACCUGCAGAAUAAGUCUCGGCUAACUACGUGCCAGCAGCCGCGGUAAAACGUAGGAGGCGAGCGUUAUCCGGAUUCACUGGGCGUAAAGCGCGCGUAGGCGGUCGGGUAAGUCGGAUGUUAAAGCCCCUGGCUCAACUGGGGGAGCCGUUCGAUACUGCUCGGCUUGAGGGUGACAGGGGAGAGUGGAAUUCCCGGUGUAGCGGUGGAAUGCGUAGAGAUCGGGAGGAACACCAGUGGCGAAGGCGGCUCUCUGGGUCACUUCUGACGCUGAGUGCGCGACAGCGUGGGGAGCAAACGGGAUUAGAUACCCCAGUAGUCC
rnacentral:rRNA from 1 species